GGGUUGUGAGGUUAAGCGACUAAGCGUACACGGUGGAUGCCCUGGCAGUCAGAGGCGAUGAAGGACGUGCUAAUCUGCGAUAAGCGUCGGUAAGGUGAUAUGAACCGUUAUAACCGGCGAUUUCCGAAUGGGGAAACCCAGUGUGAUUCGUCACACUAUCAUUAACUGAAUCCAUAGGUUAAUGAGGCGAACCGGGGGAACUGAAACAUCUAAGUACCCCGAGGAAAAGAAAUCAACCGAGAUUCCCCCAGUAGCGGCGAGCGAACGGGGAGCAGCCCAGAGCCUGAAUCAGUGUGUGUGUUAGUGGAAGCGUCUGGAAAGGCGCGCGAUACAGGGUGACAGCCCCGUACACAAAAAUGCACAUGCUGUGAGCUCGAUGAGUAGGGCGGGACACGUGGUAUCCUGUCUGAAUAUGGGGGGACCAUCCUCCAAGGCUAAAUACUCCUGACUGACCGAUAGUGAACCAGUACCGUGAGGGAAAGGCGAAAAGAACCCCGGCGAGGGGAGUGAAAAAGAACCUGAAACCGUGUACGUACAAGCAGUGGGAGCACAGAGCAAUCUGUGUGACUGCGUACCUUUUGUAUAAUGGGUCAGCGACUUAUAUUCUGUAGCAAGGUUAACCGAAUAGGGGAGCCGAAGGGAAACCGAGUCUUAACUGGGCGUUAAGUUGCAGGGUAUAGACCCGAAACCCGGUGAUCUAGCCAUGGGCAGGUUGAAGGUUGGGUAACACUAACUGGAGGACCGAACCGACUAAUGUUGAAAAAUUAGCGGAUGACUUGUGGCUGGGGGUGAAAGGCCAAUCAAACCGGGAGAUAGCUGGUUCUCCCCGAAAGCUAUUUAGGUAGCGCCUCGUGAAUUCAUCUCCGGGGGUAGAGCACUGUUUCGGCAAGGGGGUCAUCCCGACUUACCAACCCGAUGCAAACUGCGAAUACCGGAGAAUGUUAUCACGGGAGACACACGGCGGGUGCUAACGUCCGUCGUGAAGAGGGAAACAACCCAGACCGCCAGCUAAGGUCCCAAAGUCAUGGUUAAGUGGGAAACGAUGUGGGAAGGCCCAGACAGCCAGGAUGUUGGCUUAGAAGCAGCCAUCAUUUAAAGAAAGCGUAAUAGCUCACUGGUCGAGUCGGCCUGCGCGGAAGAUGUAACGGGGCUAAACCAUGCACCGAAGCUGCGGCAGCGACGCUUAUGCGUUGUUGGGUAGGGGAGCGUUCUGUAAGCCUGUGAAGGUGUACUGUGAGGUAUGCUGGAGGUAUCAGAAGUGCGAAUGCUGACAUAAGUAACGAUAAAGCGGGUGAAAAGCCCGCUCGCCGGAAGACCAAGGGUUCCUGUCCAACGUUAAUCGGGGCAGGGUGAGUCGACCCCUAAGGCGAGGCCGAAAGGCGUAGUCGAUGGGAAACAGGUUAAUAUUCCUGUACUUGGUGUUACUGCGAAGGGGGGACGGAGAAGGCUAUGUUGGCCGGGCGACGGUUGUCCCGGUUUAAGCGUGUAGGCUGGUUUUCCAGGCAAAUCCGGAAAAUCAAGGCUGAGGCGUGAUGACGAGGCACUACGGUGCUGAAGCAACAAAUGCCCUGCUUCCAGGAAAAGCCUCUAAGCAUCAGGUAACAUCAAAUCGUACCCCAAACCGACACAGGUGGUCAGGUAGAGAAUACCAAGGCGCUUGAGAGAACUCGGGUGAAGGAACUAGGCAAAAUGGUGCCGUAACUUCGGGAGAAGGCACGCUGAUAUGUAGGUGAAGUCCCUCGCGGAUGGAGCUGAAAUCAGUCGAAGAUACCAGCUGGCUGCAACUGUUUAUUAAAAACACAGCACUGUGCAAACACGAAAGUGGACGUAUACGGUGUGACGCCUGCCCGGUGCCGGAAGGUUAAUUGAUGGGGUUAGCGCAAGCGAAGCUCUUGAUCGAAGCCCCGGUAAACGGCGGCCGUAACUAUAACGGUCCUAAGGUAGCGAAAUUCCUUGUCGGGUAAGUUCCGACCUGCACGAAUGGCGUAAUGAUGGCCAGGCUGUCUCCACCCGAGACUCAGUGAAAUUGAACUCGCUGUGAAGAUGCAGUGUACCCGCGGCAAGACGGAAAGACCCCGUGAACCUUUACUAUAGCUUGACACUGAACAUUGAGCCUUGAUGUGUAGGAUAGGUGGGAGGCUUUGAAGUGUGGACGCCAGUCUGCAUGGAGCCGACCUUGAAAUACCACCCUUUAAUGUUUGAUGUUCUAACGUUGACCCGUGAUCCGGGUUGCGGACAGUGUCUGGUGGGUAGUUUGACUGGGGCGGUCUCCUCCUAAAGAGUAACGGAGGAGCACGAAGGUUGGCUAAUCCUGGUCGGACAUCAGGAGGUUAGUGCAAUGGCAUAAGCCAGCUUGACUGCGAGCGUGACGGCGCGAGCAGGUGCGAAAGCAGGUCAUAGUGAUCCGGUGGUUCUGAAUGGAAGGGCCAUCGCUCAACGGAUAAAAGGUACUCCGGGGAUAACAGGCUGAUACCGCCCAAGAGUUCAUAUCGACGGCGGUGUUUGGCACCUCGAUGUCGGCUCAUCACAUCCUGGGGCUGAAGUAGGUCCCAAGGGUAUGGCUGUUCGCCAUUUAAAGUGGUACGCGAGCUGGGUUUAGAACGUCGUGAGACAGUUCGGUCCCUAUCUGCCGUGGGCGCUGGAGAACUGAGGGGGGCUGCUCCUAGUACGAGAGGACCGGAGUGGACGCAUCACUGGUGUUCGGGUUGUCAUGCCAAUGGCACUGCCCGGUAGCUAAAUGCGGAAGAGAUAAGUGCUGAAAGCAUCUAAGCACGAAACUUGCCCCGAGAUGAGUUCUCCCUGACUCCUUGAGAGUCCUGAAGGAACGUUGAAGACGACGACGUUGAUAGGCCGGGUGUGUAAGCGCAGCGAUGCGUUGAGCUAACCGGUACUAAUGAACCGUGAGGCUUAACCUUACAACGCCGAAG
rnacentral:rRNA from 1 species